rnacentral:rRNA from 1 species
UACGUAGGGGGCUAGCGUUGUCCGGAUUUAUUGGGCGUAAAGAGCGUGUAGGCGGCCAUGUAGGUCCGGUGUGAAAACUCGAGGCUUAACCUCGAGAUGUCAUCGGAAACCAUUUGGCUAGAGUCCGGAAGAGGAGAGUGGAAUUCCUGGUGUAGCGGUGAAAUGCGCAGAUAUCAGGAAGAACACCCGUGGCGAAGGCGGCUCUCUGGUACGUGACUGACGCUGAGACGCGAAAAGCGUGGGGAGCAAACAGG